rnacentral:miRNA from 1 species
UCUUGCCCACCCCUCCCAUUCC